rnacentral:lncRNA from 1 species
AAGCAUGUGUGCAAAGGACCAAGGCUGUUAAGUCUUCCUUUCUCCGUCUGAGUCUCAAACGGUUGUAGAAGAACUAGACGAGACAAAUAUUGUAGAAGGAGUUGAAUGUUGGCACUGGAGCACCACUCCGCAGGGGGGCGGGGGGGGGAAACGUAACGUUUAUCAGGGUUUGGACACAACAAGGCCUUAGACUGAAGCCACACAUUCCUCUGUGUCUGUGUGUUCUGUAGACCUCACUGAGGAUAUUACAUCUGGAUUUAUUCAUACUUCUGUGGAUUAACGCAUGUUCCUGGAUUUGGAAAUAUUUACAUUCAAUAACCAUCAGAUUUAAUUUCUUUAACAGUAACACAAGCCUUACAUGUUCCAGCCAGAGUCUGACCCAGUGGAGCGAGAUGAAAAUGAUGAUGAUGAACCUGCAGAACCCUAACAAAGGAAGAUGUCGAGGCCCCCGUCCUCUCAGACCACUCCUCAGUUCUACAGAGUCAGUGACAAAGACCUCACUGAGAUAGAACUCCACUCUGUGGAUUCCAUCAACGACCUCCAUAGAAUGCACUCUGAUCACAGCCAUAAAGGUACGAGGCCUCCUCGACCCCCCUACACCCCCUCAGCCAAUGGAAACCUGCACAUGUGUGACAUCGCAGCUGUCAAUCACAGAGUUCGUCCAAUGAGACGCACGUGGCAGAGUCGUCUACAGGAAAUGUUGACCCCCAGUUCAUCCCGAGCCUACGCCAUGGGCUGUGCCAUCAUCUCCCUGCUUCUGCUCACCGUCUUACUCAUCUUCUAUUUUUUAGUCCAGCAGGGCGGGGCCAUCCAGAUGUUGACUGAGGCAGUGAAGGAGAAACAGGCAGCAGCCAAUCAGCUGUCAGCGCUGAUCACAGAACUACAGGCUCUGAGACUCAACCUGACCUCCAUGAGAACACCAACCAUUUAGACAGUCAGCCACUUUAUUAGAUACACUGUUAUUGGCCUUUAGCUCGUCUUUAGAGAUGAUUUAUUGGUUCACAUUAUAUUCAUUAGAUUCAUUAUAUUCAUUAUAUUAAUUAGAUUCAUUAUAUUAAUUAGAUUUAUUUAUUCAUUAUAUU